rnacentral:lncRNA from 1 species
AAUCUUCUAGCAUCCCUCAGUAGAUGCUAUCCAGUAGCAUUCAUCAGUAAAUGCUAAUCUUUCUAAUCUUCAUUGGCAUCCAUCAGUAGAUGUUGUAGAAGCAUCCAUCAGUAGAUGCUAUCAUCACUGCCAUCAGAAGCAGCACAUAACCCUAAUAAAAAUAAAAUAAAAUAAAAUCUAAUAAAAUAAAAUAAAAGAAAAGAAAAAGAUUCAGAAACGGGGUAGAAACUGGGUUGCCUCCCAGGUAGCGCUUCUUUAACGUCAUUAGCAUGACCCGGUAAAGCCCAAACACCCAUCAGUAGGUGUUGAUUUUUAACGUUGGCAUUCUUCCUUCCUUCAUGACACCAACAAUUUUCUUGUCACCAAGUCUAAGGAUCCUCAAUCUCAAGAGCUCUGCUUGCUUUAAUAGUCUUGACAACCCAUAACCUAAUUUUAAAUUUCAUUGAUGUGCCAGAUUAGGGUUCGUCACUUUUCACAUCAGGGUGUUGGUGAACCAACUCUCCUUCC